rnacentral:rRNA from 1 species
GUCAAGUCAUCAUGGCCCUUACGCCCAGGGCUACACACGUGCUACAAUGGCCAGGACAGAGGGCUGCAAGACCGUGAGGUGGAGCGAAUCCCACAAACCUGGUCCAAGUUCGGAUUGCAGGCUGCAACUCGCCUGCAUGAAGCCGGAAUCGCUAGUAAUCGCGGAUCAGCCACGCCGCGGUGAAUACGUUCCCGGGCCUU